UACAGCUCUUGUAUCCACAAAUUUGUUAUAGAUCCCAUAAUUACAUCUUCUAUACCAAAUACAUUUAAAGUUUAUUAAAUUGUUCCAGCUUUGAUGGAGAAUUGAGCUCCGAAACGUGAAUGUUUUGAGUGAGGCAAAGAUUAGCAAAAUGAUUUCCUUUUCUCUACGCAUGGAAAAGAUUAUGCCACAUUUAGCUUCUGCAGCCAUAUUUCUUAGACCAAAGUCACGGAAACAAGGGAUGAGCAGACCCUCUACAAACACAAC
rnacentral:lncRNA from 1 species